GCGACCCUAGGUCAGGSGGGAACCACCCGCRGGAAUAAAGCAUAUCAAUGAGCGGAGGA
rnacentral:rRNA from 1 species